UACGUAGGGUGCAAGCGUUAAUCGGAAUUACUGGGCGUAAAGCGUGCGCAGGCGGUUUUGUAAGUCUGUUGUGAAAUCCCCGGGCUUAACCUGGGAAUGGCAAUGGAGACUGCAAGGCUAGAGUUUGGCAGAGGGGGGGUAGAAUUCCACGUGUAGCAGUGAAAUGCGUAGAUAUGUGGAGGAACACCGAUGGCGAAGGCAGCCCCCCUGGGUCAAAACUGACGCUCAUGCACGAAAGCGUGGGGAGCAAACAGG
rnacentral:rRNA from 1 species